GAUGAACGCUAGCGGGAGGCUUAACACAUGCAAGUCGAGGGGCAGCACGAGGUAGCAAUACUUUGGUGGCGACCGGCGCACGGGUGAGUAACGCGUAUGUAACCUACCCUGUACAGGGGGAUAACCCGGAGAAAUUCGGACUAAUACCCCAUAAAGAUAUUUAGAGGCAUCUUUGAAUAUUUAAAGUUCCGGCGGUACGGGAUGGGCAUGCGUAACAUUAGCUAGUUGGUAAGGUAACGGCUUACCAAGGCAACGAUGUUUAGGGGUCCUGAGAGGGUGAUCCCCCACACUGGUACUGAGACACGGACCAGACUCCUACGGGGGGCAGCGGUGAGGAAUAUUGGUCAAUGGGCGCAAGCCUGAACCAGCCAUCCCGCGUGAAGGAAGAAUGCGCUAUGCGUUGUAAACUUCUUUUCCAGGGGAAUAAAGUUUUGUACGUGUACGGAAUUGAAGGUACCCUGGGAAUAAGCAUCGGCUAACUCCGUGCCAGCAGCCGCAGUAACAC
rnacentral:rRNA from 1 species